AACCUUCCUACUCUUGACAUCCAGAGAACUUANCAGAGAUGCUUUGGUGCCUUCGGGAACUCUGAGACAGGUGCUGCAUGGCUGUCGUCAGCUCGUGUUGUGAAAUGUUGGGUUAAGUCCCGCAACGNGCGCAACCCUUAUCCUUUGUUGCCAGCGGUUCGGCCGGGAACUCAAAGGAGACUGCCAGUGAUAAACUGGAGGAAGGUGGGGAUGACGUCAAGUCAUCAUGGCCCUUACGAGUAGGGCUACACACGUGCUACAAUGGNGUAUACAAAGAGAAGNGACCUCGCGAGAGCAAGCGGACCUC
rnacentral:rRNA from 1 species